GUUGCUAAAGACAGUAGCGUACAAGUAACGAAGACAACAGAACAGUAAAAAAACACUAAGUAGUUAAAAUCACAUAUUUCAAAAGAAGAUAUAUUUUAACGUCAUGCUUUUCAACAGUACAAUCACAUUCCGCGCCAAAAUUUCACCUAGCUAACUCCUGAUUGGCUAGAACGAAACAACUAAUUUAUCAUUACCACGCGCAAAAUUGACAUAUUAUGUGCCAAGAAAUUUGUUUUGAUCAACAACCUACAUACAUGUAAUUUUAUAUUAGAAACUAAAGCACGUUUGA
rnacentral:misc_RNA from 1 species